rnacentral:tRNA from 1 species
AGGUUAAUAGCUCACUGGUGGAGCAGGUGCUUAGCAUGCAUGAGGUCCUGGGUUCAAUCCCCAGUACCUC